ACACGAGCUGUUCCAGUAUAAUAAAAUAUAUAAAAUAAGAAUAGUUAUACUGAUAUAGAUCUUAGAUAUGAUUAUAUAUGAAUAUCAUUAAUCAUUAGUUUGUAGCAAUGCUAACUAUACUUUGUUGAAGAUUUACAGGAGCAUUGUGACCUGAAAAGGAAGAGGAAGCUCCCAGCCUCCUUGGAGCAUUGCUUGAGCUCAGGAGUUCAAGACCAGCCUAGGCAACAUGGGGAAACCCCAGCUCUACAAAAUCUGCUGGGCAUUUGUCUUUGACUUUCUAGUCCUUAAAAAAAAAUCAGCUGGGCAUGGUGGCACACACCUGUAGUCCCAGCUAAUGGAAAGAUAUUAGUACGUAAAACAU
rnacentral:lncRNA from 1 species